rnacentral:rRNA from 1 species
UACGUAGGGUGCAAGCGUUGUCCGGAAUUAUUGGGCGUAAAGAGCUCGUAGGCGGUUUGUCGCGUCUGCUGUGAAAUCUGGGGGCUCAACCCCCAGCCUGCAGUGGGUACGGGCAGACUAGAGUGCGGUAGGGGAGAUUGGAAUCCUGGUGUAGCGGUGGAAUGCGCAGAUAGUCAGGAGGAACACCGAUGGACGAAGCAGAGU